rnacentral:lncRNA from 1 species
AUGGUGGACACGAUGGAGGAAGUAGCUCAAGGGAGGGUAUGGGCCGGCAAUGAUGCUACUUCAUGAGGUUUAGUUGAUGCAAUUGGAGGCUUUUCACGAGCAGUUGUUAUAGCCAAACACAAGGCCAACAUUCCUCACAACAAAAAAGGUGACUCUGGUUGAGGUGUCGAAACCAUCAUUCUCUUUACAAAAAAAUCCUAUUUGG